rnacentral:rRNA from 1 species
CUACCAUGCAGUCGAGCGGGAUUUACCGGUUUAGUUUACUAAGUUGGUGAAUUCAGCGGCGGACGGGUGAGUAACGCGUGAGCAAUCUGCCUUGUACAGGGGGAUAACAGCCGGAAACGGCUGCUAAUACCGCAUAAGGCCACAGUACCGCAUGGUACAGGGGUCAAAGGAGAGAUCCGGUAUAAGAUGAGCUCGCGUUCCAUUAGCUGGUUGGUGAGGUAACGGCCCACCAAGGCAACGAUGGGUAGCCGGCCUGAGAGGGUGAACGGCCACAUUGGGACUGAGACACGGCCCAAACUCCUACGGGAGGCAGCAGUGGGGGAUAUUGCGCAAUGGGGGAAACCCUGACGCAGCAACGCCGCGUGAGUGAAGGAGGCCUUCGGGUCGUAAAACUCUGUGACAGGGGAAGAAGAAAGUGACGGUACCCUGAGAGGAAGCCCCGGCUAACUACGUGCCAGCAGCCGCGGUAACACGUAGGGGGCAAGCAUUGUCCGGAAUUACUGGGCGUAAAGGGUGCGUAGGCGGCCGAGCAAGUCCGAUGUGAAAGACCACGGCUAAACUGUGGGGGUGCAUAGGAAACUGUCCGGCUUGAGUGCAGGAGAGGAAAGUGGAAUUCCUAGUGUAGCGGUGAAAUGCGUAGAGAUUAGGAAGAACACCAGUGGCGAAGGCGACUUUCUGGACUGUAACUGACGCUGAGGCACGAAAGCGUGGGGAGCGAACAGGAUUAGAUACCCUGGUAGUC